UGCAGUCGAAGCUUCUUUUUCCCCGGAGCUUGCUCCACCGGAAAAAGAGGAGUGGCGAACGGGUGAGUGACACGUGGGUAACCUGCCCAUCAGAAGGGGAUAACACUUGGAAACAGGUGCUAAUACCGUAUAACAAUCGAAACCGCAUGGUUUUGAUUUGAAAGGCGCUUUCGGGUGUCGCUGAUGGAUGGACCCGCGGUGCAUUAGCUAGUUGGUGAGGUAACGGCUCACCAAGGCCACGAUGCAUAGCCGACCUGAGAGGGUGAUCGGCCACAUUGGGACUGAGACACGGCCCAAACUCCUACGGGAGGCAGCAGUAGGGAAUCUUCGGCAAUGGACGAAAGUCUGACCGAGCAACGCCGCGUGAGUGAAGAAGGUUUUCGGAUCGUAAAACUCUGUUGUUAGAGAAGAACAAGGAUGAGAGUAACUGUUCAUCCCUUGACGGUAUCUAACCAGAAAGCCACGGCUAACUACGUGCCAGCAGCCGCGGUAAUACGUAGGUGGCAAGCGUUGUCCGGAUUUAUUGGGCGUAAAGCGAGCGCAGGCGGUUUCUUAAGUCUGAUGUGAAAGCCCCCGGCUCAACCGGGGAGGGUCAUUGGAAACUGGGAGACUUGAGUGCAGAAGAGGAGAGUGGAAUUCCAUGUGUAGCGGUGAAUGCGUAGAUAUAUGGAGGAACACAGUGGCGAGGCGGCUCUCAGUCUGAACUGACCUGAGCUCGAAGCGUGGGAGCAACAGAU
rnacentral:rRNA from 1 species